rnacentral:lncRNA from 1 species
GAGGGAACGAAUCUGGACCAUUUAUUGCAUUUAAUCGCAACUGUCCGAUCGCGCCUGAGGAGGGAAUGGAUCUGAACCGUCCACACGCACGAGAACAAAUCUGGACCAUCCGAUCGUAAGUACGCGGAUUGUCAACGUGGCACCGGGUCAGCGUGCCUUACCACGCAGCACGCUCCGACUCGUCGGGGCUGCUGACUGGGUGGUCCUACGUGG